GCGAGCGUGCUGGAACCGGCAGACAGGCAUGUUUGAGGGGCAUGUGUAUGAAUUUACGUAUGGGUUCAAGUCCCAUCGCUCGCACCA
rnacentral:tRNA from 1 species